UAUAUUAUUCGUUGACUUGACAAGCGUCCGUUGCGAAAAAUAACCGCCAUUUUCUUUCAAUAAUGGUGAUACAUCGGCACUUGUUUUGUGAAAUUCAGAGCUGUAAACGGCGUGACUGGUUUUUUAUUAUAUUAUAAAAUUAAAUAAACACGGUCUUAAAACAAUUAAAAAUAACUUUCGUCGUGAAUGCGAUGUGAUGGGUAAACUCGGGUGUUUUUAUUGAUUGUAAAGAACCCGUUUUUAGUGCUUAAUGGGACGUUGACGGAUACGGUGAUUUUUGAAAAAGAUUCUAAAACAAAAAUGGCUGCGGGUCUCGUGCUUCUCCUUGGUGCCUUUGCCUUUUCAGUAUUUUGGACAACAAAAUUCUUGCGUGAGGUUUAUGCUACAGAAAAAUAUAACGCCACGACUCUCAGGCCAUAUAUAAGCGGUAACAUGACUGGAGAGUUCGUUGAAUAUGUAGAAUCAUGAUGACAUCGCUUCAUGGUUUUUGCUAUCUGGCGCUUUAGCGUACAGCCUAUAUUUAGCGUACCACGAUAUGAAACAUGUUUUUGCGAACGUCAAGCUUUUGGCGGAGGACGAUGUUACACUAGAAAAUCGUGCACCAUUUGACUAUUUGUUGUAUUGGCCCGAUACUUUUAUAAUGAACUGGACGACCAAUGAAUCUUUAACUAGUACUACUACUGCAAGUACUGAAUAUGAAUAG